CCCCCCCCCCCGCCCCCUCCCCGAGCAUGGGGAGCCCCGAGCUGGCCCUCCCAUCGGCGCCGCUGCCUCUCCCCGUUCGAUAGGGUUGAGGUCGUCCGGCCAUCUCGGCUGCCCCACCCUCCCUCCGCCGGCAGGGCCCGGCUCCUCAGGCGGCAAGGUGCUCCGGCGUGAAGGUGCUCCGGCGUGCCCCUGCUGAUCUCCUGCUCGUGGAACAACUGCAUCAGCAGGAACACAUGCUGCAUCUGAAUAGGGAGAGAGGUGAGGGCGAACCGCGGCUCAGUACCUUCACGGGAUUAUGUCUUUCCCGCACGUCAAAGAAACCUGAAGGGGGGGUGGGUCAACCUAGGAUCUGGCUUGAGGAUUGAUGCAUAUAGUGGGAAGUUCAAGGAGCACAAUGGGCCCGAUUCUGAUCCGGCCUCACAGGACAUUGACGUUACGGUUUGAAUUUAACUUUUACCAGGGCUCAGGUGGUAAGCACAUUGACAGGAUCGACGAUCGACAACCUGGGCAGCGCUGUCGCUGUCGUGCGUGGGGAAA